ACGUGCGGUUGCGACGCACCUGCUCCCAAACACCUUGAGAGAAAUAAAACGUUCCCACUUUCGGCGCGCUACUGUGUUUCACCGAGAAUCAAAAGAAAACACAACAAUGAUUCAAUGAUUCAAAAACAAAUAGUCAGAAGUGAAAGAAAGUCCUAAAUUGAUUGUUACAAAAGCGUUAAGCGUAAUUAUUCUUAAUUGUAUAUCCUAUAUUAUUGUAAGUAAGCUAGUAAAUCGAUUGUGCUAUGUCUAAUGCUAAAACUAAAUUUACAGCUGCAAAUCGAGAGAACGAAGAUUCUUAAAAAUAACCCCACCUCCAACGAACUAAACAAACGAGACACUAAACGUAAGUUCUCUAAAUCUAAAUCUAGCUGCAACACAGAAAAACUUAUGAUAGUGUAAAAAACCUUAAAAUUAAUAUGUACAAUUUAAAACUACUUCUAUUCCUAAAACUACUAUGUACAAUAGAACCAUUUUAAUGUAUUGAUUUAUACCUACGGUAGGGAUUUUUUAACGUCGUCGUCAUCGCCAUCGCCAUUGUAUUGCGUAUUGAAAUAAACGUUUAAAAAACCGGAAAAUUGUUUCUCUUCCGUUGCGGUUGCAACAUUUUAAAAAAUCCGUUUAGUUCGUGAUCGGGGAAGCUUUAUCGAGGUUGCAAUAAUGCCGAGAAAUAAUCGGGCAAAACCAGGUGUGAGUUGUGCGCUGUGCAAGGAUCUCGACAACAGCCGGAUGGUUAGUUGUGACGAAUGCGGUAAAUGGUUCCAUUUCGUGUGCGUGGGUGUAACUGAGGGAAUCGAAGAAGUUGAUUGGAGCUGUUCAGAGUGUGAGGCGAAACGAGCAGACCAGAUCCCAUCGGUCAUCACUACAGAUCAUGCACAGAGUGAAGCGGAGCCUAGGCCAGUGGAUAACCAGGGGCAAGUUGAGCUACUCAGGGAAUUCCAGAGGAGAAUGGACCAAAUGCAAAGUAGGUUCGAAGAACAACAGCAGGCAUACGAAAAGCUGCUUCGGGAAAAGGACCGCGAAAUGCAGAAUGCGAUUAAGGAUUUGCAGUCCCAGUUCCAGCGUCGUAUGGAGAAAAGAGAACAGCAGAUACGAGAGGAGUUGAGCGUUCCCGUAGUUGUUCAUCCACCGAAUGCAAAUUCGACAACGUUGGGAACUGAGAAUCGUCAGACAGAUGACGUCAGCAAGGCGAUCGAGCAGAUGCAAAGACAACUCGCAGAGAUGGCUAGAAAACAGGAUUCAGAAACGAAGAGUCUUGAGGAGCGAGUGAGGGCGAUGGAAAUCAGCAGCAGCGAACCUGUCCCAGCGAGGAAUGAUGGUUUGAAUGCGGAUGCGGAUCCAUUCAUUCCUAACGGCCUUCAUCUAUCUUCGACAGUGAAUCCUUCUCAUGAACUCAGCAGGAGUCAACUCGCUGCGCGACACGCGGUGGCAAAGGAGUUACCUACAUUCUCGGGCAACCCUGAAGAGUGGCCUUUAUUCAUCGCCACUUAUGAGAGUACCACAAGGAUAUGCGGCUUUAGCGAUGAAGAAAAUUUGCUUCGACUCCAACGCAGUUUGAAAGGCAAAGCUCUUGAGACAGUUCGUAGUCGGUUGUUGUAUCCAGCAGGACUUGAUGGUGUCAUCAAUACGCUUCGUAUGCUGUUUGGCCGUCCUGAAAUCAUCGUUCACUCGUUAGUUUGCAAGAUUCGGGAAAUGCCAGCGCCAAAGGCGGAGAAAUUGGGAACUCUGAUAGAUUUCGGCGUAGCAGUCCAGAACAUGUGCGCAACGAUUGUGGCGUGUGGUUUGAACGAGCAUCUAUGCAACGUGGCACUCCUUCAAGAACUCGUUGAGAGACUGCCACCUACUGUGAAGCUCGACUGGGCAAAGCAUCGUCAAACAAUGUCAGCGGUCACACUAUCGGAUUUCAGUAGCUGGUUGGGCACGCUAGUGGAAGCAGCUUGCGUAGUAACGAUUCCAUCGACGAUCAGUAUGUACGUUGGUAGAACUGAGAAGCGUGUCCGAAAGGAGGAAGUUAAUGUCCACAUUCAGUCCGACUCAAAUCAUUUUCCAAACUCUACGAUGUCCUCCAAAAGUACGUCGAAACCAGCCAGCAAGCAAUGCGUUAUUUGUCACGGAGAAUGCAGCAGUGUAGGGUUGUGCCAAAGGUUUCAAGAAUUGGAUAUCGGGGCGCGAUGGGCAGUGCUGAAACAGAAUAAAUUGUGUCGGAAGUGUCUGUCGAAACAUUUCGGAGCAUGUGCAGUAAAGCAAGCCUGUGGUAGAAACGGAUGUUCAUACAUGCAUCACAGGUUGCUACACGACGAUUCCAGAUACCAGCGAAUGGAGAAUCCUCAGAUAUCGAGUCUACAGGCGGAAGCAAUUACACCUACCGAGAAUUGUAAUUUUCACAUUAACGAUGUUAGCAAGAUUCUCUUCCGAUACGUGCCGGUGCUACUUCACGGACGAGGGAAGAUUGUACGCACAUUCGCCUUUUUGGACGACGGUUCGUCAGUGACGCUGAUGGAACAUAGUUUGCUGAAGGAGCUAGACAUUCAAGGUGAAUCAUAUCCCUUGUGUCUGGGCUGGACAGGGGAUUAUCAACGUCAGGAAAUGAAUUCUGUGAAGUUAGCGGUAGAUAUUUCCGGAGUGCACGACAUGAGAACAUAUUGGAUACCGAAAGUGCACACCGUGGACAGUCUCGCUCUACCCCAGCAAACUCUCGCGAUGGAGGAAUUAGCGCGACAUUUUCAUCAUUUGACGGCCUUGCCGGCUGAUUCCUAUCGCAAUGUUCGACCACGGAUACUUAUAGGAAUGGAUAAUUGCCGCUUGGGCCACGCGCUCGACAGCAGAGAAGGAAGAAAGGACGAACCAAUCGCUGCCAAAACACGCCUGGGGUGGAUAGUAUUCGGGCCUUGCUCUAUAGAAUCCCAAACAACGACUAGUUUAGUCGCACACCACAGUCUUCAUGUGUGUCCAUGUACCGAACAGAGCGACGCAGAGCUACACAACGCAGUAAAAGCGUACUUUUCGUUAGACAGCAUCGCAAUAAGUUCCGUUAAACCACUGAUGUCGAAGGACGACGAGCGAGCCGAGAAAUUGUUGAAAUCUCUGACUAAUGUGAACAAGGGGCGCUAUGAAACUGGAUUACUCUGGCGGUAUGAUGAUGUUCGAAUGCCAGACAGCAAAUCAAUGGCAAUGAAGCGGCUGAUAUGUCUGGAAAAGCGAAUGCAACGGGACCCUGAUCUAGCUGAAGCUCUGAAGGAGAAACUUAGGGAUUACGAGCGAUCUGGGUACAUCGUAAAACUGACGGAGAACCAACUAGCCGAGAGAUUCGAACGCGUGUGGUACCUUCCAAUAUUCCCUGUUGUCAAUCCCAAUAAGCCGGGAAAGUUGCGCAUAGUGUGGGAUGCAGCCGCAAAGGUGGCGGGUGUUUCGCUGAACUCGUUCCUGCUAACUGGACCAGAUCAACUUACUUCUCUUCUAUCCGUUUUACAACGCUUCCGAGAAUUUCGCAUUGCCAUAACGGGCGACAUUCGAGAGAUGUUUCUUCAGGUGUUGAUGAACUGGCGCGAUCAACAGUGUUUGAGGUUUCUAUGGCGGAACGGAGAAUCAAAUCGUAGCCCAGAUGUCUAUGUCACAAAGGUAAUGACUUUCGGGGCAACCUGCUCACCCAGCUGUGCACAAUAUGUGAAGAACCACAAUGCGCAACGAUUUCAGGAUAAGUUCCCGAGGGCAGCGGAGGCGAUAAUUAGAGAGCAUUACGUGGAUGAUAUGCUGUCCAGUGUGGAGACAGAAGAUGAGGCGAUUAAGCUAGCUGUAGAUGUCCGAUUCAUUCUCGCAGAGGCAGGUUUCGAAAUAAGGAAUUGGCUGUCAAAUUCGAAUCGAGUACUGCAGGAGCUGAAGGCAAAUCCAGGAGAGAAGAGCUUGAAUCUGUUGAGCGAAAUGGGAACCGAGAAAGUUCUGGGAUUGUGGUGGUGCACCGCAGCCGACACCUUCACCUUCAAAGUGUCUUCGAGGAUAAAUGUCGAUCUACUGCAAGGUCAUAUUGUGCCAACCAAAAGGCAGAUUUUGAGUACGCUGAUGACGAUCUACGACCCACUUGGACUACUUGCGAAUUUCCUUAUGUUCCUGAAAAUCCUGCUCCAGGAAAUUUGGCGUAGUGGCAUAAAUUGGGACGAACCCAUUAAGAGCGAACAGUGGGAGAAAUGGCAAAUAUGGUUGCAAGUUCUUCCGCAAGUGGAAUCCGUCAGUGUACCCAGGUGUUACCGGAUAAAAACGAGUACAGGCGGUCAAAACGAAAUUCAACUCCAUGUGUUCGUAGAUGCAUCCGAAAACGGAUAUGCCGCAGUUGCCUACCUCCGGUUCGAAGAAGAUGGCGAAGUGGAAUGUGCGCUCGUCGGCGCGAAAACAAGAGUAGCUCCGUUGCGAUUCGUGUCGAUUCCCAGACUUGAACUUCAGGCAGCAGUUAUCGGUGCCCGUUUGGCGAAAGGUAUCAUGAUGUCUCACCAGCUUAAACCAACAAAACAGUUUUUCUGGACGGAUGCGCGUGACGUUCUUUGCUGGUUGAAUUCCGAUCACCGGAGAUACAAUCAAUUCGUCGCAGUGCGGAUCAGUGAAAUUCUAGAGUUGACCGAGGUUAACGAAUGGAAUUGGAUUCCGACGAAACUGAAUGUUGCUGACGAUGCGACGAAAUGGCAGAAACUCCCGGAUUUUUCUCCUGCUAGUCGUUGGUUCCGUGGUCCACAAUUCUUGUGGGAGGCAAAGGAAGAGUGGCCUGUUGCAGUAUCGAGCUUCGAUUACACCGCAGAAGAGAAGCGACCCAAUGUGCUACAUCAUUCCGUCAAGCGUGUCCUGUUUAGGUGGGAAGAUUUCCCUAAAUGGAAGCGGCUGCUGCGUCAUGUUGCAUUCGUACAGCGGUAUCCAUCGAAUCUGCGCAAGAAAUUAUCGAAGGAGCCCAUCGUCACCGGCCCAUUGACACAAGAAGAGCUUCGAAAAGCAGAGUUGUUAAUUCUCAAACUGGUUCAGAAUGCUGAAUUCGUUGCAGAGAUAGCUGCAUUACAGAAACCGAAGCUCGCACCAUGGAAGAACGCAUUGCCCAAGAGUAGCUCGCUGUAUGGGCUCAGUCCGUUUCUGGAUGAAGAGGGGCUGCUGCGAAUGAAAGGACGUAUAGAUGCUUGUGAAGACGUCGAUGAUUGUACGAAGCGCCCGAUACUGUUGCCGAAGUGUCAUCCCGUUACCGACCUCAUUAUAUCCAGUGUUCAUCAGCAUUUCUGUCACAUGAAUCACCAGACUACACUCAACCAGAUUCGGCGUAGAUUUUACGUGCCUCAGCUACGGUCGGCCUACAAACGCGUACGAGCACGGUGUCAGCACUGCAAGAAUCGCCAGGCGAAGCCAGUUGCUCCAGAAAUGUCAGCUCUGCCACCCGCACGCCUGAAGGCUUUCUGUCGUCCAUUUUCCUACGUUGGCAUCGACUACUUCGGUCCAAUACAUGUAGUUGUUGGCCGGAGGACCGAGAAACGAUGGGGAGUGCUGAUCACAUGCCUAACGGUGCGAGCGAUACAUCUUGAAGUUGCUCACAGCCUCACAACCGACUCAUGCAUUCUCGCCAUCAGAAACUUCAUCGCCAGGAGAGGUACCCCUCUGGAGAUAGUAAGCGAUCGCGGUACGAACUUCAUCGGAGCAAGUCGAGAAUUGAAAGAAGCGUUACAAAAAAUGGACCACGAAAAGCUGAUAGAGCACUUCGUCACCACUGAUACGAAAUGGUCUUUCAACCCUCCUGCAUCUCCACAUUUCGGAGGAGCCUGGGAACGCCUUGUUCAAUCCGUGAAGAAAACCCUGAAGCAACUCCAAGUCACACGCACACCCACCGAUGAACUAUUGAAGAACAUGCUCUCAGAGAUCGAACUAAUCAUCAACUCACGACCUCUAACGGAAUUGCCAUUAGAUGACGAGCUUUCCCAAGCUCUCACUCCGAAUCAUUUUCUGAUCGGGUCAUCAGAUGGUUCAAAGCCCCCGUUCACGUUUGACGACAGCAGUUACGCUCUGAAACACACCUGGAAAUCCUCCCAAGUCUACGCAAACCGGUUUUGGCGUCGCUGGGUAGCUGAAUACCUACCAACUCUCACUCGGAGGACGAAAUGGUUUAGCCACGUCAAGCCAAUCGCAGAAGGGGACAUCGUCGUCAUCGUUGAUGAGACUCUGCCGAGGAACUGCUGGCCGAAAGGUCGAGUUGUCCACGCAAUUCGGUCCAAGGAUGGACAGGUUCGUCGUGCUCUGGUACAGACCUCGACUGGAGUGCUAGAGAGGCCAGUCGUGAAGAUCGCUGUGUUGGACGUAGGUGCAAGCGUAAGUACAUAGGAUCAAUGGCCCUGAUGCACUGGGGGAGAGUGUCGCAACGUGCGGUUGCGACGCACCUGCUCCCAAACACCUUGAGAGAAAUAAAACGUUCCCACUUUCGGCGCGCUACUGUGUUUCACCGAGAAUCAAAAGAAAACACAACAAUGAUUCAAUGAUUCAAAAACAAAUAGUCAGAAGUGAAAGAAAGUCCUAAAUUGAUUGUUACAAAAGCGUUAAGCGUAAUUAUUCUUAAUUGUAUAUCCUAUAUUAUUCUGCAAAUCGAGAGAACGAAGAUUCUUAAAAAUAACCCCACCUCCAACGAACUAAACAAACGAGACACUAAACGUAAGUUCUCUAAAUCUAAAUCUAGCUGCAACACAGAAAAACUUAUGAUAGUGUAAAAAACCUUAAAAUUAAUAUGUACAAUUUAAAACUACUUCUAUUCCUAAAACUACUAUGUACAAUAGAACCAUUUUAAUGUAUUGAUUUAUACCUACGGUAGGGAUUUUUUAACGUCGUCGUCAUCGCCAUCGCCAUUGUAUUGCGUAUUGAAAUAAACGUUUAAAAAACCGGAAAAUUGUUUCUCUUCCGUUGCGGUUGCAACACCUGGUGUUCGACUGGCUGUCGGAGGUGGGUGACGGUGAAAUGAGGAGACAAGACAAACUAACUUAUAAUGAAAAAGAAGAAC